CAGACUCAAAGAGACUGACAAAACACACAGGGGACACCGGGGAAGGAAACAUGCAGGAAAACUAGGGUGAUGGCUGUGACAGUGAGCAGAGAGGGUCCAGGACCACAGCUCCCAGUGAGACCCGUGAAAGAUGAAGUAAUAGGUAGAAGAUGAAAGGGAUAAGAACCUCAGCACAACUUCUGGCCCAUUGAACUCAACCACUGAAGCUGACAAAAUCAAGAGCACUUCCAGCAUGUCCUGCCCAGCAGACACACAGCAGAACCAAACUCUCUUUCCCACGGCAUGUGCCUAGCUGAGACAAACUGCAAAACAGCUCAAUUAACUGUGGUGGAAA